GGAUCAAGGCAGUGGAUUGUGA
rnacentral:tRNA from 1 species